GUUAAUAUAUAGCCGAUGACUUAACCAAAGUAAAUCAUGGUCAAAUAAAAUUAUAAUUAAACCAUCCUAACCGGACUCUAAACCGACUAUGUACAUUAAUACGCCGGCUCGUUUCCGUCUUGUUUCCACCGAGAAGGGUGAAGGAGCAUGCAAGAUCUCAGACCUGAGACACGGCGAAUCGUAUGCGGUUGACGGUGGUUAGAGUUUCGGAGUCAAAACUUAUUCUUGAAGAUGACGAUUGCGGCCGUGGGACAUCUCUGGGUGGCUCUUUUGAUGGUAUCUGGUGGUGAAUCUGGCGGGCCUUGAACAACCCCACCGUGAGAAGCUUACGGAAACUGGAUUUUUGAGUCGCGGUGUUCAUCCAGCUACCUUAGUCUUCUUCCCCAUAACCCUCUCUCCCUCUGCUUUAUAUGUGUAGUUGUUGUUCUCUUGCAACCUAGAUCUUAACGUUUCUCCUGUUCACCAGCUCUCGUUACUAUUUCGAUGCCUCCUUUUUGAGGAUUAGAUAAAUAGAUAAAUUAUAAUUAAAAAAAGAUAUCAACCAUGGUCGGCUAGGUCUAAGACGGCACCGAGUUUAUGUUGUAAGUAUUCAUGAAAAGUAUGAGAAAUCAUAAAAUUUACCUUAGCUUCGACGGUCAAUCAAGGAAGAACCUAUUCAACUAACGGCUUACGGUUGAGCAAAUCACAAGACAAGAUCAGCCAAAAGACAACUCAUCAAAGCUCUUUCUAUUCGUUUUGGU
rnacentral:lncRNA from 1 species